rnacentral:rRNA from 1 species
GACGAACGCUGGCGGCGUGCUUAACACAUGCAAGUCGAACGCUGAAGCUUGGUGCUUGCACUGGGUGGAUGAGUGGCGAACGGGUGAGUAAUACGUGAGUAACCUGCCCUUGACUCUGGGAUAAGCCUGGGAAACUGGGUCUAAUACUGGAUACGACAUGCCACUGCGUGGUGGUGUGUGGAAAGGGUUUUACUGGUUUUGGAUGGGCUCACGGCCUAUCAGCUUGUUGGUGGGGUAAUGGCCUACCAAGGCGACGACGGGUAGCCGGCCUGAGAGGGUGACCGGCCACACUGGGACUGAGACACGGCCCAGACUCCUACGGGAGGCAGCAGUGGGGAAUAUUGCACAAUGGGCGGAAGCCUGAUGCAGCGACGCCGCGUGAGGGAUGACGGCCUUCGGGUUGUAAACCUCUUUCAGCACGGAAGAAGCGAGAGUGACGGUACGUGCAGAAGAAGCGCCGGCUAACUACGUG